rnacentral:lncRNA from 1 species
AUGUCACAAAGAAGACUUCUAUAGGGUCUAUACCCACAGCCCAUAUUAAUUGGUGCCAGGAGAUCCUGGCAAGGUACCCAGAGAUAAAAUCCUAAAUGAAACCUGAUCCCAACCUGAUGUGAACUGUAAUUACGAUGGUUCAAACCCAGUUGGUUGUGUUUUAUUUAGUAAAAGAGUUGGACUGGAAAUGGGUCAUAUUUUGAGCAAAUGCCUUUGAUAGCUACAUUAACCACUCUAUGACUCUGGCUAUUCAUGAGGUUUCCCAAAAUAACACCUUUGGCAACUACAAAGCUAUGUGGAAUCGUGGUUUAAAAUGCUUGCUAGUCUUCCUAUUGGGGUUCUACAUUUGAUUUCCAUUAAGAGGUAUCACAUGGAACAAUCACUGAUAGCUCAGAGGUGAUGGCAUUGAUGUAGAUAUUCCUACUGAUUAAGGGCUGGCCAUUUGUACCAUUUUCAGAUAGUUAAUAUGAGUUAUUCUUCAGCCUCUCUUUUAUGCCUUUCAACCUCUGUUCAUGCAACCCAAACCAAUUUCUUAUCUAAAAAUUAUCAAUACUGUGACCCAGGUCACUUUUGACACAACUUACUGUGUUUGGGAAUUCAAUCUUUAGUUUACACAUUACUAGUAUCCUUACCUGUUCUAGAUUUGCAUCUGAUUUCUGGACAUCUUAUAGCUGAACUUUACAUAUUCUUAAAGGGACAUAAAACAUACUGGUAUCGUGGGCCCCUGAAUUUACUUACCCUCAGUGUGGUUUCUCAGAAUGAACAUCAAGAUUUCCCCAAAAUUCCUGGAAGGAGCCUUUUACUAGUGAGGAAGAUGACAACUUCCUCCAUGACAAUUCCUGGAUAAAAGAACUGUAUGAUUUUACGUGGGGUGAUACAAUAAGUCUUUCCUUGAGAAGGAAGGUCCAUCAGAAAGGGGAGGUAGUACUAGAGUCA